AUCAUAGGAACUUUAAUCUCCAAUUUCUUGAAGAUUUCCAUGAAACACUCAAACUGUUUCUCCUUUUUCUUGCUAUGAUCCUUCUUUGGGUGAGGAAGGGGUUUUCAUAUGAUUCUUUCUUUUUGCUUUCACCCUUCCCUUCUCUCUUUUUCUCCUUGGGACACUCCUUAGAGCACAAAGGACUUUUCUCAAUUUUUUUCUCUUCUCUUUAACCCCUUCUUUUUCUUCCUCUACAUCUUUCUCUUUUUCACUCAAAAAUUCUUUUUCUUUGCUCUCAUCUUCUUCCUUUUCUACCUCUUUCUCUUUCUCACUCAAACUUUCUUCUUCUUCUCUCUUUAUUUUUAUCUCAUCCUCUCUCUUUUCUUCUUCUUUUUCUCUCUCCUCAUUUGACACCUUGCCACUU
rnacentral:lncRNA from 1 species